CAGGUUUUCUGCAGAUGGCAUCAGGUAUCUAUCUGAACUACUGGGUCCCAGGAUUAAGCACCGCACUGCACGGAGCCAUGCACUGAGUGUGGAGCAAAUGGUUUGUGUGGCCUUGCGCUUUUUGCUAGUGGAGCCUUCCCCUGUACUCAGUGGGGGAUGCAAGAACAGCUGAACAAGGCCACAAUUUGCCGCACAAUAAGGAGUGUGUGUCUGGCUAUCAAAGCAUUAGCAGAUGUCUUCAUCUCCUUCCUGGCCACAGAAGACUCUGUGACAUCAAAGAGGAGUUCUAUAGGAUUGCAGAUGGUCUGCAAUGCUGACUGUGUGAUCAGCAAUGUUGGCAAAAUGGCCUGGCUCAGUCCAUGACUCCAGAAUCUUUCGGGCCUCUGAAAUCUAUCACAAGGUGAAUUCUCUGGUGUGUUGCUGGGAGACAGGGGGUAUGGCUGCCAGCCUUU